rnacentral:rRNA from 1 species
GAUGAACGCUGGCGGCGUGCCUAAUACAUGCAAGUCGAGCGAACAGACGCGGCGCUUGCUCCUCUGACGUUAGCGGCGGACGGGUGAGUAACACGUGGAUAACCUACCUAUAAGACUGGUAUCACUUCGGGACACCGGAGCUUAUACCGGAUAAUCUCUUGAACCGCAUGGUUCAAUAGUGAAAGACGGUUUUGCUGUCACUUCUAGAUGGAUCCGCGCCGCAUUAGCUAGUUGGUACGGUAACGGCUUACCAAGGCAACGAUGCGUAGCCGACCUGAGAGGGUGAUCGGCCACACUGGAACUGAGACACGGUCCAGACGCCUACGGGAGGCAGCAGUAGGGAAUCUGCCGCAAGGGGCGAAAGCCUGACGGAGCAACGCCGCGUGAGUGAUGAAGGUCUUCGGAUCGUAAAACUCUGUUAUUAGGGAAGAACAAAUGUGGAAGUAACUAUGCACGUCUUGACGGUACCUAAUCAGAAAGCCACGGCUAACUACGUG